UACGGAGGGUGCAAACGUUGCUCGGAAUCAUUGGGCGUAAAGCGCACGUAGGCGGUCCGGUAAGUCGGAUGUGAAAGCCCUCGGCUCAACCGAGGAAGUGCAUUCGAAACUGCCGGGCUCGAGUACGGGAGAGGGAUGCGGAAUUCCCGGUGUAGAAGUGAAAUUCGUAGAUAUCGGGAGGAACACCAGUGGCGAAGGCGGCAUCCUGGACCGAUACUGACGCUGAGGUGCGACAGCGUGGGGAGCAAACAGG
rnacentral:rRNA from 1 species